ACUGAAUUCUCUUCGGAGAUAGUAAGGUGGCGGACGGGUGAGUAACACGUAAAGACUUGCCCUGCAGUCUGGGACAACUAUUGGAAACGAUAGCUAAUACCGGAUAUUGCUGCAUGGCGAAAGCUGUAUGCGCUGCAGGAGAGCUUUGCGUCCCAUUAGUUAGUUGGUGAGGUAACGGCUCACCAAGACCGCGAUGGGUAGCCGGCCUGAGAGGGUGAACGGCCACAAGGGGACUGAGACACGGCCCUUACUCCUACGGGAGGCAGCAGUGGGGAAUAUUGGACAAUGGACCAAAGUCUGAUCCAGCAAUUCUGUGUGCACGAUGACGGUCUUAGGAUUGUAAAGUGCUUUCAAUCGGGAAAAAGAAAGUGAUGGUACCGAUAGAAGAAGCGACGGCUAAAUACGUGCCAGCAGCCGCGGUAAUACGUAUGUCGCAAGCGUUAUCCGGAUUUAUUGGGCGUAAAGCGCGUCUAGGCGGUCUGGUAAGUCUGAUGUGGAAAUGCGGGGCUCAACUCCGUAUUGCGUUGGAAACUGCCAGACUAGAGUACUGGAGAGGUGGGCGGAACUACAAGUGUAGAGGUGAAAUUCGUAGAUAUUUGUAGGAAUGCCGAUAGAGAAGUCAGCUCACUGGACAGAUACUGACGCUGAAGCGCGAAAGCAUGGGGAGCAAACAGGAUUAGAUACCCU
rnacentral:rRNA from 1 species